GCCUAAAGCGUCCGUAGCCGGCUCUGUCAGUUUUCGGUUAAAUCCAUAUGCUCAACAUAUGGGCCGCCGGGAAUACUACAAAGCUAGGGAGUGGGAGAGGUAGACGGUACUCCGUAGGAAGGGGUAAAAUCCUUUGAUCUAUGGAUGACCACCAGUGGCGAAGGCGGUCUACCAGAACACGUUCGACGGUGAGGGAUGAAAGCUGGGGGAGCAAGCCGGAUUAGAUACCCGGGUAGUCCCAGCUGUAAACUAUGCAAACUCAGUGAUGCAUUGGCUUGUGGCCAGUGCAGUGCCGCAGAGAAGUCGUUAAGUUUGCCGCCUGGGAAGUACGUACGCAAGUAUGAAACUUAAAGGAAUUGGCGGGGGAGCACCACAAGGGGUGAAGCCUGCGGUUCAAUUGGAGUCAACGCCAGAAAUCUUACCCGGAGAGACAGCAGAAUGAAGGUCAAGUUGAAGCCUUUACCAGACAAGCUGAGAAGUGGUGCAUGGCCGUCGCCAGCUCGUGCCGUGAGGUGUCCUGUUAAGUCAGGUAACGAGCGAGAUCCUUGCCUCUAGUUGCUACCAUUACUCUCAGGAGUAGUGGGGCGAAUUAGCGGGACUGCCGUAGUUAAUACGGAGGAAGGAGAGGGCCACGGCAGGUCAGUAUGCCCCGAA
rnacentral:rRNA from 1 species